rnacentral:rRNA from 1 species
ACAUCGCCUUUAGCCAAACAAGUAUUAAAGGUCCCGCCUGCCCAGUGAGCCCCCUUAAACGGCCGCGGUACUCUAACCGUGCAAAGGUAGCGUAAUCACUUGCCCCCUAAAUAGGGGCUAGUAUGAACGGCUAAAUGAGGGCCUAACUGUCUCCUGCGACAAGCCAAUGAAACUGCUCUCUCAGUACAAAAGCUGAGAUGCCACCACAAGACGAGAAGACCCUGUGGAGCUUCUAAGCACCACACUAACCCCACACCCCGCCCAUAGUGCACGCUUUAAGUUGGGGCGACUACGGAGAAAACCCAAACCUCCACGAAACAGGACUAGCCUCCAUCCAAGGCCAACAAGCCAAAGCUAUCAACUACCCACUGACCCAGCAGCGCUGAUCAACGGACCAAGUUACCCCAGGGAUAACAGCGCAAUCCUCCUCAAGAGUCCAUAUCGCCAGGAGGGUUUACGACCUCGAUGUUGGAUCAGGACACCC